UUUUGGACAAUGGGCGCAAGCCUGAUCCAGCAAUGCCGCGUGCAGGAUGAAGGCCUUCGGGUUGUAAACUGCUUUUGUCCCGACCCCCCCCGGCGAACUCUAAUACAGUUUGCUAAUGACGGUACCGUAAGAAUAAGCACCGGCUAACUACGUGCCAGCAGCCGCGGUAAUACGUAGGGUGCAAGCGUUAAUCGGAAUUACUGGGCGUAAAGCGUGCGCAGGCAGUUAUGUAAGACAGAUGUGAAAUCCCCGGGCUUAACCUGGGAACUGCAUUUGUGACUGCAUAGCUAGAGUACGGUAGAGGGGGAUGGAAUUCCGCGUGUAGCAGUGAAAUGCGUAGAUAUGCGGAGGAACACCGAGGCGAAGGCAAUCCCCGGACCUGUACUGACGCUCAUGCACGAAA
rnacentral:rRNA from 1 species